GGCGGUUCUCGGAUGACGCACCCCAGAAUCGGGCUCCCUCCUCUCUGACUCCGGGUGCAUCACCUGAGAACCACA
rfam:Myotis davidii contig47860, whole genome shotgun sequence.